CAGUACUACCAGAUGUCUGCCAGUGAGUGGGGAAGAGAAGGGACCGGCACAGGGCCCCCUUCCAUCCCCUACCUAUUAGUGAAGAUCUGUUCAGGAGAGUAGCUGUCGACAUUAUAGUUGCGCAGGCACUUUGUUGACUCUAGAGAACCUCGGGCCAAUUGCACGACCCCAUGACGGCGACUUUGCAUUUUGAUGUCUUGCCUUUCAACUUUCGAUGCCACUUUCUGCCCCUACCAUGGUGACCACGGGUAACGGGGAAUCAGUGUUGGAUUCCGG